UAUAAAUCAACCUUCUUAUUGUUGAUUUCAUCUCAAAUUCAAAAGGUGUUUUUGCCAUCCUUAUUGUGCAAGUUUUUAGUUUCAACCUGCUCAUAUCAAAAGUUGUUGAAUUGACAACAAAAGUUGUUGAAUUGACAACAAAAGUUGAUGAUUACCAACAAAAGGUAUUGAAAGUUGUCAAGAAGGAGAAGAUAUGAGGAAAUUAUGUUCCUGUUUUUUUAUGUGGAUUUCGUUUUGACCAUACGUGGUCUAGAUUUAAUUUUCUUUGUUGACCUAUAUCAUUAUCGUUGUUUUGAAGUCUGCUGGCCAUACGUGGUUUAAACUCAAUAUCCGUUUUUCUUGGUCUAAUUGCCUAUUUUGAUGUCUUUGCCUGACAAUUAGUUCUUUCAAUAAAU